CUCUUUCCCCUCUUGCCCCUCUCCAGCUUUUCUGGUCCAACCCUCUUCUGCGCCUAACACUGGCACCUCCUUUUCUUCCGGCUGAUGAAUAAUUGUCCGCAAACCAGCCUCUCUGGGGCACUGAGGGGCGGGAAGGUUAGAAGGAGCCAGGGCUAGAGUCCUGGAAGGUGGCAGUCAGGUCGCAGGGCCACAGCAGUCACUCUGCGACUCUCUCUUCCGGUGUUUCUCCAGCGCCAAGCGGGAGAAGACGGAGCCUGGGAGCUGGGACUGGAGGAGCGGGAAGCGCAGUAUCGGGACCACGGCUCUGGGACCAGGAAAAACGCAGACUCUCCAGAGUCAAUGUCUACUUCAGCCAGCUCAAGGGCGCGACAACCUGGCGCCGAGCAUCUCAGGCCGCCGCGGGGACCCCCCCUAAGGGACUCGGGAACACCUGCCUACCCUAGAAGAGGCGGAGAAUAACCCCGUAGGGAGUUAAGCGGCCUCUGCCUACAGCGUUCCUCCCGCCUCCACGGCGCCGAGCCCUGAUUGACGUUCAGCCAGGCCAAUCAUAGCCUGUGUCUGAGGCGCGCGGAGCUGGAGCGCCCAGGGCAUGUCCGCCGAUCCCAAGGAGGCAAUCUGUCAGGCGCCGCCCGGGCGGCAGUAUGCCUGAGGGGGUCCUCCGUGUUCGCGCCUCCCGCCGCCUGCACUGAAAGGUCUGUACCUGAGCCUGGAUACUUGAACAGAGGCAGACACUGCGGCUCAAAACCCCAAGGAAUAUCCUAGCUCUGAGACAAAAAUUGGGAACCUCAGCAUGAGUUUGUCACCUGAAUGAAAUAAAAAAAAUCACGUUGAAGGCUGGUGCAGUAACAUGUGCCUGUAGUCCCAGCUACUCUGGAGGCUGAGUCAGGAGGAUCACUUGAGACCAGAAGUUCAGGAAUUCAAGACUGGCUUGAGCAACAUAGCAAGACUUCAUUUCAAAACAAACAGAAAAAAGCCACCACCUUCAGUAUUUCUUGCCAAAGCAAAGGAGCCAUUUGUUCUUUACGAUGGUCAGGAAAGGAAGCAUCAAGGUCAUCAAAUGAAAAAUUUUCAGCAUUUCAGCCUCUCUGCUCAGGGAAAUACCUGAAUCUAGAAUAUCACAACAUGAGCCAAAACCGCCCCAUUUCUCAUGCCACAUGUCACUCUUAACACAAGGUUACUCAACCUCGAGCAUGGUUGGCAUUUGGGGCUGAAUAAUUCUUUUUUGUAGGGGGCUGUCCUGGGCAUUGUAGGAUGCUCAUGAGCUACCUCAGUCUCUACCACCCACUAGAUGCCAGUAGCAUUGACCCCUGAUCUCUCUACCCAAGUUGUGACAACUAAAACCAUCUCUGGAUAAUGGAGGAACCUUAAAUGCAUAUUGCUAAGGAAAAGCCAAUCUGAAAGGAUUACAUAUUGUAUGAGUCCAACUAUAUGGUAAUCUGGAAAAGGCAAAACCAUGGAGACAGUGAAAAGGUAGUGGUUACCAGUGGUCCAUGGGAAGGGUUGGAUGAAUAGGUGGAGCACAGAGGAUUUUUAAGGCAGUGAAACUAUUCUGAAUGAUACUGUAAUGGUGGAUACAUGUCAUACCUUUGUCAAAACCAAUAAAAUAUAACAACCAAUAAAACUGCACAAAGAGUGAACCCUAAUGUAAACUAUGGACUUAAUAAUGUAUCAAUAUUGGCUCACCAAUUUUAACAAAUGUACCACACUAAUGCAAGAUGUUACUAAUAGUGGAAACUGGAGGGAAGAGGGCUUGAGGGGACAUACAGGAACUCUCUGUAAUUCCUGUUCAGUUUUUCUGUAACUGUUAAACUGUCCAAAAAAAGUCUGUUUUUAUAAAUGGAGGCAUGGUUUUAUAUGGACUAAAAUACUAUGAUUGCCUUUUUAUUUUACACAUGGUGAAAUUAGAGCAGGACAUAUUUUAAACUCAAAAUUCACAAAAUUAAUUUAUGAAAAUGUUUACCCAGAUCAAGAAUAUUAAAGAAACUUAGAUUAAUAUUGUUACCUUGAAUUUAUUUUACUGAGUAAUCCUCUAAGACUCCUCUACACAUUAUUAAUCUAGAAGGAUUUUUAAAGUCUUUAUGACAAUUAAUUAUUGGUCUACAGUCAAAUUGCAUAUCCCCAUUAACUAGAGUUAUAUUUUUCCAUUUUCUGAUCCAAAAACUUUAGGAACAGGAAAUGUUUAUUUUAGAAAACAAGAACACUUCUUAAGCAUUUGCUGUUAACAGUUAUUUUCACAUGUGCUUGUACUUAUUUUACACUUGUCAGAACAUAGUAUUUACCUUUGAACCAAGGUUUUAUAAUAAGCAAGCACUUUUUUUAUUUAGAAGUCACAUUUUCCAAGUAGAAAAAUCAUUAAAAAUUCAGUCCUCUGAAGGCUAAUUUCUUUAAAUCAUUUAACCUAAUUGUUUAAGGUAUAGAUUGGAAUUUUUCUCAGCACUCUCUUGAAAACAGGUGACAGUGGAACCCUGUUAGGUUCACAAAUCCUAGACUUUGAUUAUAUAGCCCAGGCUCAAAUUUUUCUCGAAUGUUACGAACAUUCAAAGCAUUAGGAGUCUUGGUUUCAUUUCUUAAUUUUUUUUCUUCUGGGUAUAUUUGAGACUCAUCUUGGAUUCAAAUAAAUUAAUAAUAGUCUCAUGAAACCGAUAAAAAUGGGAGCUCCAUUGAACAUGAGAGACAUUGAUUCGUAGUUUCUAACAUCCUCCAAAUGAGGAGCCCAUCCCUAAUUUAGAUGCUUCUUUCAAAGGAGGCUCCUUUCCUUCGUUAUCCAUAAUAUAGUCACACCAGUCCUGAAAAAACAUGGAACAGACUCCAGAUCUUUAUAUUUCAUACUCUAAAGUCGUACAAGCCAAUCUGCAUUUCCUCUAGUGGAAACUGUAUAGCUGGUCAUCUUUCCAGGACCCUUUUAUCAAGAAACAAUGCAGCUUCUACAUUUGUGCUGCUUCUACACCAAAACAGCUGGAAUGUAUAUAGUAUGGUUCUGGAUGCUCUUGUAUACCUCACUCUUCAUUUCUCACCUAACCCAUGUGCUAUGAUUUGAAUGUUUCUCCCCUGCAAAACUCAUGUUGAAAUGUAAUUGCCAUGAUAACAGUAUUAAUAGGUGGAAUAUUUAAGAGGUGAUUAGGGUGGGAUUGGUGAUGUUAUAAAAGGGUAAGUUCAGCCCCUUCUUGCUCUCUCUGUCACCCUUCCACCUUCCUCUGUGUGAUGAUGCAACAAAAAAGCCCUUCCCAGAUGCCAGCAUCUUGAUUUUGGACUUCUCAGCCUACAGAACUAUAAGCCAAUAAAUUUCUGUUAUUUGUUAUUAGUCUGUGAUAUUCUGUUACAGUAGCACAAAAUGGACUAUGACACCAUGUGUUUACACAGAAAGAAAAAAAUAUCAUACGGUAAUUGCUCCUAAAUAUGCAGAGAAUAUGUUCUGAUAUCCUUAGUGGAUGCCUGAAACUGCAGAUAGUACCAAACCUUAUAUAUACUAUGUUUUUUUUCCCAUACAUAUGCAUGUUAAAGUUUAUAAGUUAGGCAGAGUAAGAUAUGAACAAUAACUAAUAAUGAAAUAGAAACGUAACGAUGUGCUGUAAUAAAAGUUAUGUGACUGAC
rnacentral:lncRNA from 1 species